rnacentral:rRNA from 1 species
GACGAACGCUGGCGGCGUGCUUAACACAUGCAGGUCGAACGGUAAGGCCCUUUCGGGGGUCCACGAGUGGCGAACGGGUGAGUAACACGUGGGUGAUCUUCCCUGCACUUUGGGAUAAGCCUGGGAAACUGGGUCUAAUACCGGAUAGGACUACGCGAUGCAUGUCGUGUGGUGGAAAGCUUUUGCGGUGUGGGAUGGGCCCGCGGCCUAUCAGCUUGUUGGUGGGGUGAUGGCCUACCAAGGCGACGACGGGUAGCCGGCCUGAGAGGGUGUCCGGCCACACUGGGACUGAGAUACGGCCCAGACUCCUACGGGAGGCAGCAGUGGGGAAUAUUGCACAAUGGGCGCAAGCCUGAUGCAGCGACGCCGCGUGGGGGAUGACGGCCUUCGGGUUGUAAACCCCUUUCAGCACAGACGAAGCGUAAGUGACGGUAUGUGCAGAAGAAGCACCGGCCAACUACGUG